rnacentral:rRNA from 1 species
UACGUAGGUGGCAAGCGUUGUUCGGAAUUAUUGGGCGUAAAGGGCGCGUAGGCGGCAUGUUAAGUCGGCUGUGAAAGCCUGGGGCUCAACCCCAGAGGGUCGGCCGAUACUGGCAAGCUAGAGUACGGAAGAGGUAGCUGGAAUUCCCGGUGUAGCGGUGAAAUGCGCAGAUAUCAGGAAGAACACCAAUGGCGAAGGCAGCUCUCUGGGACGGUACUGACGCUGAGACGCGAAAGCGUGGGGAGCGAACAGG